rnacentral:rRNA from 1 species
CCCUUAGAUGUUCUGGGCCGCACGCGUGCUACACUGAGUGGAUCAGCGGGUCAGGUUGCGCGAAAGCGUUUCCUAAUCUUUAAAUCCGCUCGUGAUGGGGAUUGACGGUUGCAAUUUUCUGUCAUGAACGAGGAAUACCUUGUAAGCGCGGGUCAUCAUCCCGCGCUGAAUACGUCCCUGCCCUUUGUACACACCGCCCGCCGCUCCUGCCGAUUGAGUGGUCCGGUGAGGCUUUGGGAUCUGAGCGGAAAGAGCGUUUCGCUGUUUCUGCUCGGAAAACUCAGUCGAACCUUAUCAUUUAGAGGAAGGAGAAGUCGUAACA